rnacentral:rRNA from 1 species
CUGAAACUCAAAGGAAUUGACGGGGGCCCGCACAAGCGGUGGAGCAUGUGGUUUAAUUCGAAGCAACGCGAAGAACCUUACCAGGUCUUGACAUCCUCUGACAACCCUAGAGAUAGGGCUUCCCCUUCGGGGGCAGAGUGACAGGUGGUGCAUGGUUGUCGUCAGCUCGUGUCGUGAGAUGUUGGGUUAAGUCCCGCAACGAGCGCAACCCUUGAUCUUAGUUGCCAUCAUUAAGUUGGGCACUCUAAGGUGACUGCCGGUGACAAACCGGAGGAAGGUGGGGAUGACGUCAAAUCAUCAUGCCCCUUAUGACCUGGGCUACACACGUGCUACAAUGGACGGUACAAAGAGCUGCAAGACCGCGAGGUGGAGCUAAUCUCAUAAAACCGUUCUCAGUUCGGAUUGUAGGCUGCAACUCGCCUACAUGAAGCUGGAAUCGCUAGUAAUCGCGGAUCAGCAUGCCGCGGUNNNNACGUUCCCGGGCCUUNNNNNCACCGCCCGUCACAGCACGAGAGUUUGUAACACCGCGAAGUCGGUGGGGUAACC